rnacentral:tRNA from 1 species
GCCGGGGUGGCGGAACUGGUAGACGCGCCGGACUCAAAAUCCGGUUCCUUCACGGGAGUGUCGGUUCGAUUCCGACCCUCGGCACCA